ACACUGAGAAAGCGGCCUUCUUUUGCCGUGCAUAUGAUGAGGACAGCCAGGGCAUCUUAUGCACCCCUGAAGUAGUCCCAUCCACCGCAUCUGUAUCAGUUCAGAAUGUAUAUCCUUCUCAGACCGUAAUCUGGCCAGGGAGCGGACUGUUUGAAGCAGGUGACGAAGCAAUACUAGACAGCGUUUUGGAUUACGAGAACGAGAGUGGACUUCUAUCUCUAUCUGAAAUUCAUGCAACAGACAGGCCCGAGACACCUCCGACUAACGGUAAGAAGAAGAAG